AAUGGGAGAACUGGCCAUCCUUCCCAGAACACUUAGACUCCUGACUCCCAGACCUGGAGUGACAGUUCCUCAUGUUAAAACGAUCAGAAUAUCUGGCGGAUGAUCUCUCGUCGCUCGGGGACAAGUUUGUACUGGAUAACCUCCUCCAGCUCGGACAGCAUGUGGCAAGAAACCAUGGCCUGAUGGAAGCAAAUCACAUUCCAAACUAAUUACUGCACGAACAAUCCAAAAGACAGGAUUAAUUUAAAUCAUUCCUUCUGGUGUCAGGGUAUCUGCCGAUCAGAGAAAACAGGCAUGUUUCCAGCAGCCUGGAUGAAAAGAGAAAUUCACUGAAGAAGGGCAUUUUCCCAGAACUGAAUGGCUUGAGAGGAGGUAUUAUCCAAUUUCUCAUCAAAGACAGAAAUGUAUGGCAUCCAAACCUUUAACAUCUAUCUAAGGAUGGGGCUGGUUACCAGAAAGACCAAGUAAUUAACGGGUUUGAACUUUCAGCCCUGUCCACUGACAUCCAGGAAAGGUGAAAAGGUUGAAAAUUAAAGGCAAUAAAAACUCUUGAACAAUGAGCUUCCAGGUUGAUGAAGGUGCUGGGAGGGUGAAGGUAAACCCCAGUACCACAGGACAGAAGCUUCUGCACUCCAGACCCUUCUAGACCUUUCCUCAUUGUACCUGUUCAUCUGUAUCUUUUAUAAUACCCUUUAUAAUAAACCA
rnacentral:antisense_RNA from 1 species